GAUGAACGCUAGCUACAGGCUUAACACAUGCAAGUCGAGGGGAAACGACAUCGAAAGCUUGCUUUUGAUGGGCGUCGACCGGCGCACGGGUGAGUAACGCGUAUCCAACCUGCCCAUCACUUGGGAAUAACCUUGCGAAAGUAAGACUAAUACCCAAUGAUAUCCCACGAAGGCAUCGGAAUGGGAUUAAAGAUUUAUCGGUGAUGGAUGGGGAUGCGUCUGAUUAGCUUGUUGGCGGGGUAACGGCCCACCAAGGCAACGAUCAGUAGGGGUUCUGAGAGGAAGGUCCCCCACAUUGGAACUGAGACACGGUCCAAACUCCUACGGGAGGCAGCAGUGAGGAAUAUUGGUCAAUGGGCGAGAGCCUGAACCAGCCAAGUAGCGUGCAGGAAGACGGCCCUAUGGGUUGUAAACUGCUUUUAUAAGGGAAUAAAGUGGGUCACGUGUGACUUUUUGCAUGUACCGUAUGAAUAAGGACCGGCUAAUUCCGU
rnacentral:rRNA from 1 species